UGAGUAACACGUAUCCAACCUGCCGUCUACUCUUGGCCAGCCUUCUGAAAGGAAGAUUAAUCCAGGAUGGCAUCAUGAGUUCACAUGUCCGCAUGAUUAAAGGUAUUUUCCGGUAGACGAUGGGGAUGCGUUCCAUUAGAUAGUAGGCGGGGUAACGGCCCACCAAAGCGACGAUGGAUAGGGGUUCUGAGAGGAAGGUCCCCCACAUUGGAACUGAGACACGGUCCAA
rnacentral:rRNA from 1 species